AGAGUUUGAUCCUGGCUCAGAGCGAACGCUGGCGGCGUGCUUAACACAUGCAAGUCGAGUGCGUAGUUUUCCCCGCCGCAAGGCGGGGGAAAUGGGCGCACGGCGCACGGGUGCGUAACACGUGGGUAAUCUGCCCUCUGAUGGGGAAUAACCCGCCGAAAGGCGGGCUAAUACCGCAUAACAUCCCUUUGGCUUCGGCUGGGGGGAUCAAAGUCCGCCGCAAGGCGGACGUCGGUGGAGGAGCCCGCGCCCGAUUAGCUAGUUGGUGAGGUCAUGGCUCACCAAGGCUUUGAUCGGUAGCCGGUCUGAGAGGACGACCGGCCACACUGGAACUGAGACACGGUCCAGACUCCUACGGGAGGCAGCAGUGGGGAAUAUUGCGCAAUGGGCGAAAGCCUGACGCAGCGACGCCGCGUGGGGGAUGAAGCUUCUCGGAGUGUAAACCCCUUUCGACCCGGACGAAAAAUCCCGCAAGGGAUCUGACGGUACGGGUAUAAGAAGCCCCGGCUAACUACGUGCCAGCAGCCGCGGUAAGACGUAGGGGGCCAGCGUUGCUCGGAAUAACUGGGCGUAAAGGGUUCGUAGGCGGUGUGGCAAGUCGGGAGUGAAAUCCUGAGGCUUAACUUCAGGACUGCCUCCGAAACUGCCAUGCUGGAGUGCGGGAGAGGCGAGUGGAAUUGCAGGUGUAGCGGUGAAAUGCGUAGAUAUCUGCAGGAACACCAGUGGCGAAAGCGGCUCGCUGGACCGCAACUGACGCUGAGGAACGAAAGCUAGGGGAGCAAACAGGAUUAGAUACCCUGGUAGUCCUAGCCCUAAACGAUCAGAACUUGGGGUGGGCCCCUUUCGGGGUUCGUCCCGGAGCUAACGCGUUAAGUUCUGCGCCUGGGGAGUACGGUCGCAAGGCUGAAACUCAAAGGAAUUGACGGGGGCCCGCACAAGCGGUGGAACAUGUGGUUCAAUUCGACGCAACGCGAAGAACCUUACCUGGGCUUGAACCGUGCAUGACCAUCCCGAGAAAUCGGGACUUCCCGCAAGGGACAUGCAUAGAGGUGCUGCAUGGCU
rnacentral:rRNA from 1 species